rnacentral:rRNA from 1 species
UACGUAGGGUGCGAGCGUUGUCCGGAAUUAUUGGGCGUAAAGAGCUCGUAGGCGGUCUGUCGCGUCUGCUGUGAAAAUCCAGGGCUCAACCCUGGACCUGCAGUGGGUACGGGCAGACUAGAGUGCGGUAGGGGAGAUCGGAAUUCCUGGUGUAGCGGUGAAAUGCGCAGAUAUCAGGAGGAACACCGGUGGCGAAGGCGGAUCUCUGGGCCGACACUGACACUGAGAGACGAAAGCUAGGGGAGCAAAUGGG